rnacentral:rRNA from 1 species
AGUGAACGCUGGCGGUAGGCCUAACACAUGCAAGUCGAACGGCAGCACAGUAAGAGCUUGCUCUUACGGGUGGCGAGUGGCGGACGGGUGAGGAAUACAUCGGAAUCUACUUUUUCGUGGGGGACAACGUGGGGAAACUUACGCUAAUACCGCAUACGACCUACGGGUGAAAGCAGUGGAUCUUCGGACCUUGCGCGAUUGAAUGAGCCGAUGUCGGAUUAGCUAGUUGGCGGGGUAAAGGCCCACCAAGGCAACGAUCCGUAGCGGGUCUGAGAGGAUGAUCAGCCACACUGGAACUGAGACACGGUCCAGACUCCUACGGGAGGCAGCAGUGGGGAAUAUUGGACAAUGGGCGCAAGCCUGAUCGAGCAAUACCGCGUGGGUGAAGAAGGCCUUCGGGUUGUAAAGCCCUUUUGUUGGGAAAGAAAAGCAGCAUGUUAAUACCCCGCCGUUCUGACGGUACCCAAAGAAUAAGCACCGGCUAACUUCGUG